rnacentral:rRNA from 1 species
UACGUAGGGUGCAAGCGUUGCCCGGAUUUAUUGGGCGUAAAGGGCGCGUAGGCGGCUCUGCACGUUCGUUGUGAAAUCGCCCGGCUCAACUGGGCGGGGUCAGCGGAUACGGCAGAGCUUGAGCAAGCUAGGGGGCAAUGGAAUUCCCGGUGUAGUGGUGGGAUGCGUAGAUAUCGGGAGGAACACCAGUGGCGAAGGCGGUUGCCUGGAGCUUUGCUGACGCUGAUGCGCGAAAGCGUGGGGAGCGAUCCGG